UACGUAUGGAGCAAGCGUUAUCCGGAUUUACUGGGUGUAAAGGGAGCGCAGGCGGCUUUGCAAGUCUGAUGUGAAAGGCCGGGGCUCAACCCCGGGACUGCAUUGGAAACUGUAAAGCUAGAGUGCCGGAGAGGUAAGCGGAAUUCCUAGUGUAGCGGUGAAAUGCGUAGAUAUUAGGAGGAACACCAGUGGCGAAGGCGGCUUACUGGACGGCAACUGACGCUGAGGCUCGAAAGCGUGGGGAGCAAACAGG
rnacentral:rRNA from 1 species